AUUCAUGUAGUUUAAAAAGAACAGUAGUUUUUCUCUCUACAAGACUCCAUAAAUUGGAGCAUGAAUU
rnacentral:tRNA from 1 species